rnacentral:rRNA from 1 species
UGAGUACGAGCUGCUACGGCAGCGAAGUGGGUGAUGUCAAGCUUCCAAGAAAAGCCCUAUACCCGUUAAGGCAUGAUGGCCUGUACCCGAAACCGACACAGGUGGGGUGGUAGAGAAUACCGAGGGGCGCGAGAUAACUCUCUCUAAGGAACUCGGCAAAAUGGCCCCGUAACUUCGGGAGAAGGGGUGCCACCGCAAGGUGGUCGCAGUGAAGAGGCCCAGGCGACUGUUUACCAAAAACACAGGUCUCCGCUAAGUCGCAAGACGAUGUAUGGGGGCUGACGCCUGCCCAGUGCCGGAAGGUUAAGGAAGCUGGUCAGCGAAAGCGAAGCUAGCGACUGAAGCCCCGGUGAACGGCGGCCGUAACAAUAACGGUCCUAAGGUAGCGAAAUUCCUUGUCGGGUAAGUUCCGACCCGCACGAAAGGCGUAACGAUCUGGGCGCUGUCUCGGAGAGAGGCUCGGCGAAAUAGAAUUGUCUGUGAAGAUGCGGACUACGUGCACCCGGACAGAAAGACCCUAUGAAGCUUCACUGUAGCUUGGUAUUGUGCUCGGGCUCGGAAUGCGCAGGAUAGGUGGGAGGCUAUGAACCAUUGCUUGUGGGUGAUGGUGAGCCACUGGUGAGAUACCACUCUUUCCGAGCUAGAGUUCUAACAGCCACCCGUUAUCCGGGGGCUGGACAGUAUCAGGUGGGCAGUUUGACUGGGGCGGUCGCCUCCUAAAAGGUAACGGAGGCGCGCAAAGGUUUGCUCAGGCUGGUUGGAAAUCAGCCGACGAGUGUAAAAGCAGAAGCAAGCUUGACUGUGAGACCUACAAGUCGAACAGGGAGGAAACUCGGCUUUAGUGAUCCGACGGUUCUGCGUGGAAGGGCCGUCGCUCAACGGAUAAAAGUUACUCUAAGGAUAACAGGCUGAUCUCCCCCAAGAGUUCACAUCGACGGGGAGGUUUGGCACCUCGAUGUCGGCUCAUCGCAACCUGGGGCUGAAGUCGGUCCCAAGGGUUGGGCUGUUCGCCCAUUAAAGCGGUACGCGAGCUGGGUUCAGAACGUCGUGAGACAGUUCGGUCCAUAUCCGGUGCAUGCGCAGGAAUAUUGAGAGGAUUUCUCCCUAGUACGAGAGGACCGGGAGGAACGCACCUCUGGUGUACCAGUUAUCGUGCCAACGGUAAACGCUGGGUAGCCAUGUGCGGAGAGGAUAACCGCUGAAAGCAUCUAAGUGGGAAGCCCACCUCAAGAUGAGUAUUCCCAUGGGGUAACCCAGUAAGGUCACGGGAAGAACACCCGUUGAUAGGCUCUACGUGGAAGCGCAGUAAUGUGUGAAGCGGAGGAGUACUAAUAGACCGAGGGCUUGACC